rnacentral:rRNA from 1 species
AUUGAACGCUAGCGGCAGGCCUAACACAUGCAAGUCGAGCGGAUGAAGGGAGCUUGCUCCUGGAUUCAGCGGCGGACGGGUGAGUAAUGCCUAGGAAUCUGCCUGUUCGUGGGGGAUAACGUCCGGACACGGGCGCUAAUACCGCAUACGUCCUGAGUGUGAAAGUGGGGGUUCUUCGGACCUCACGCUUUCUGAUGUGCCUAGGUCGGAUUAGCUAGUUGGUUUGGUAAAGGCCUACCAAGGCGACGAUCCGUAACUGGUCUGAGAGGCUGAUCAGUCACACUGGAACUGAGACACGGUCCAGACUCCUACGGGAGGCAGCAGUGGGGAAUAUUGGACAAUGGGCGAAAGCCUGAUCCAGCAAUGCCGCGUGUGUGAAGAAGGUCUUCGGAUUGUAAAGCACUUUAAGUUGGGAGGAAGGGAAGUAAGUUAAUACCUUGCUGUUUUGACGGUACCAACAGAAUAAGCACCGGCUAACUUCGUG